rnacentral:lncRNA from 1 species
AAAACCCUAACUUUUUUCACGUUUCCUCUCUUUUGCAGCGUUCUCUGUCGACUCUCUUCUCCUCGUCUCUCUCUCCCUGCAACUUGCACUACUCCAUCACGAUUUGAUUCCGAGCACCACUCCAUCAAGGCCAAAGUUCGUCGCGACGAGAGAGCGAGAUCUGAUCUUCUACCCUCUUGACGAGCGAGCGAAUCCAAAAUCCGAGCAAUCCGAGCACUUUUUCCCGAUAGGCUUCGAGGAAGGCGAGCAAAGACUCUUCCUCUGCCUCCCUCUCUCUCUCUCUCUCUAGAAUUGCAUCCCUCGCUUUCUCUCUCUUCCUGCCUUGGUGGGUUCCUCGCUCUUCUUCUUACUGGCUGAGCCGCCGGUCGUCCAGGUAUGGAUCUUUCUUUCUGUGCUUGCUUGUUUGGUUCAUGCGUCGAAAUCAAGAUCGCUUGUGGUU